AUAUGUUGACAAUUCAUCCAUAGCUUGUUCAGAAUAUGCAGUUCUAGGUUCAUUAACAAGACUAGGAGGUACGACCGUAGCCGUAGUAUUUGUGUUAGUUGCAACAUUUUCUUCGUCUAAUUUUCUCUUCUUAGACUGCACCGCCGUCAGACAAUCAGUCGUUGAUUUGGCUUUCAUCGUCUUGUGAUCGGAUAUAGCUAUUACAUUACCAAUGUUAUUUCUGAUAAAAGAUUUCAUGGAGUGAAUCAAGGAAAAGUUAUCCAAGGAUUUCCUGUAACUUUGAGUACAUUUGUAUUUGUGUUAGUGUUACAGAUGGUACAGUACUGGGACGCGACGUGUUUCACUUGCGGAUUUGUGCUUGUCCGACACGAGAUUUAAAGACAGACGAACAAGCUAACUCUAAGAAGAGAAGAUUAAAACGCAAAAGAUAUUCAACUGAGACUCAGAUCGCAAAAAUACCAAAACUAGUUGACCCAGAGCCUCAUGUGUCCAACUUAAAUGAAGUUUACAACAUUAAGGUAGUUGGACGUCAGUUGUACUUGUUCAUGAUGAAGAUCAUGCAGUUUUACUCCAGCACCCACCUGAACAUUCCUGACGCUCCAUGUCAACAAAACGAAAACACGAUGGUACACCAAGAGCAGGAUGUGCUCAUGAGAAACAUGUAUUCUAAUAAUCUGAAGAAGCUCAAAGAAAAGCUGAAGAACUUGAGAGAAGAAAGCAAACA